GCCUGAUGCGGUGGCGCGUGACUGUAGUCCCAGCUACUCGGGAGGCUGAGGUGGGAGGAUCGCUUGAGCCCAGGAGUUCUGGGCUGUAGUGCGCUAUGCCAAUCGGGUGUCCACACUAAGUUCGGCAUCAAUAUGGUGACCUCCUGGGAGUGGGGGACCACCAGGUUGCCUAAGGAGGGGUGAACCAGCCCAGGUCGGAAACGGAGCAGGUCAAAACUCCCGUGCUGAUCAGUAGUGGGGUCUCGCCUGUGAAUAGUCACUGCACUCCAGCCUGGGCAACAUAGGAGACCCUGUCUCU
rnacentral:SRP_RNA from 1 species